rnacentral:rRNA from 1 species
UGGGGAAUAUUGCACAAUGGGCGCAAGCCUGAUGCAGCCAUGCCGCGUGUGUGAAGAAGGCCUUCGGGUUGUAAAGCACUUUCAGCGAGGAGGAAGGUGGUGAGCUUAAUACGCUUAUCAAUUGACGUUACUCGCAGAAGAAGCACCGGCUAACUCCGUGCCAGCAGCCGCGGUAAUACGGAGGGUGCAAGCGUUAAUCGGAAUUACUGGGCGUAAAGCGCACGCAGGAGGUUUGUUAAGUCAGAUGUGAAAUCCCCGGGCUCAACCUGGGAACUGCAUUUGAAACUGGCAAGCUAGAGUCUCGUAGAGGGGGGUAGAAUUCCAGGUGUAGCGGUGAAAUGCGUAGAGAUCUGGAGGAAUACCGGUGGCGAAGGCGGCCCCCUGGACGAAGACUGACGCUCAGGUGCGAAAGCGUGGGGAGCAAACA